UUCUUCAUUUUUUAUCUUUAAUAUUAUUUUACAUUCUUCCCUUCCAAUUUUCUUCCUAACUUCUCUCUCUUCUUCAGAACUGUUUUCUUCCAGCUCUCUUUUACUCCUUUGGCUGUCUAACAUCUUUCCUUCUUUACCUCUUCCUCGUCCUCUCCCUCUACUUACUGGCGUCCAUUCAUUAAAGUCCAUAUUAUCCUCCUGUGUAUCCAUUCUGAACCAUUCACAUACCAGUUUAACCCUUUUACCGCCACUUCCUAAACUAAAUAAUUUCUACCACUGUGGGGUUCUAAGUAGACCAGCAUUUUCAAACCGAAGUUUCGCGCUCCGCCGACCGGUUCGAGCAGCCUCAGCCUGUAUCGCCGAAAAACCUGGUGGAUCUUCCUAUCCCAUGAUUCAUUGCGCCUCGAAGUAGAUAGUUCAAACGGAAGUAGCAAAGGCUGGAGCAGAGAGAAAAGCUGUGAAUAAAAUUGGAUAUACUGCGCAUUCUGUUAAACAAACUGGACUUUUAUAGUGUUUUUAGACGAGAAUGUAGCUGUCUAAACCUAAAAUAUCUGAUCAGGUGAUCAAGAUGUUGCUAAAUUGGUCAAGUCAGCAGCCGCUUGCCUCGCCCGCUGUCAGCUGACCGGGCGGUUGAGGUUCCUAAACCCCCAGAGAACAGCUGACUCCAUAGGAGGAAGUUAAACAUAUAUAAUUCAGUCAGUUUAUAUGUAAUGUUAAUGUUUGGUUUAUUUAUUAUUGUCGGCCACAGCCACGCCGUACAGAACCAGUGAGAAACUCCCGCUCCCCCUCCCUGCCGUAAAACUGUCGUGAACGUCCAAACUACAGAGCUGCGGCAUGUAUAACAGUAAAAAUGCUCUGGAACAAUCUAACUACUGAACAUGCGACAUUAUUAUUAAUAUGCUCUACAAAUAAACUAAUUUAAACGUUGUUCCUAAAGUUAAUAUGUUAGUGUUUAAGUUGUUAAAAGCUUUACAAAUAAAUGAAACAAUUGGUAUUUGUUAUCAAUUUAUUUUAUCUACAGUGUUAAGAUUUUUAUAUCUAUGAACACAAAAUUAUUUUGAACAUUUUAAAUGGAUGAAUACUGCCAACGAUCAUUUCAGGCUCCAUUUGUUCGGCUUCACAGCUCUGUGCUUUCACGCUGACACGGUUGCUAGGCAACAGAAGUUACGCUGGGGUAAGGGCAAGAGAAACGCAGACUUAUGUAACACCGGCGGCACAAUUAGCUAAUCUGGCAUGUUUAGCUAAUAGCUACAGUCUUUGGUCGAGAGGCGGGAUCCACCCUGAACAGGUCACAUGUCCAUCAGAGGACAACACAGAGACACACAAGAAGGACAACCAUGCACACACACUGGCCUGAGAACAGCUUAGACUGACCAGUUGACCUAACAGACGUGUUUGGACUGUGGGAAGAAUCCGGAGUACUCAGGGAGAACCUACAUCUGUACAGGGAGAACAUGCAAGCUCCUCAUAGAAAGGACCCAGGCCGGGAUUCAAACCCAGGACUUUCUAGCUGCUUGGUAACAGUCCCACCAUCUGAUUGGAUCAAUUUAGAAACAGAUGUUUAUGUUAAUGUCAGCGGAAACAGUUCAGAAACAAAAACGAGACGACUGACGCUCAAAUCUGAUUAGUUCACAGCAAAUCAAACAGAAUGAAACCAUGGUUCAUGUUCAGAUGAAGAAAGGGAGCAGGAUGGACAAAGAAGCAACAAUAAAAAGGUACUCUCUAGAUUAUAGAGCAUUGCAACAUCUCUGCUGAUGACACACAGCUGCUCUGCAUCACGACAUGACUACAGUCCAGGACGGUUACUGAGUCAGAAUGUCCUCCAGCUUAAUGCAGAGACGACAUGCCAAUGUCACGGUUUGUGUAGCGGAGGACCCCGGACAAGCAGGCAGCUUGACGAAAUAAACUCUUCUGCAGAGGGUGCUGCAGACUCGCAUUUACAACAGGUGACUCAAGUUUCUGCAGAAACAUGCAGCUAUGGGGUGCUGAGCUGUGAAAUGAUGCAUGUUUGGGUCCGAACAGCUGACCUUCUUGACUUAAAGAAAACCUUUCACGAGAUCCACUGG